UACGUAGGUGGCAAGCGUUGUUCGGAAUUAUUGGGCGUAAAGAGCUCGUAGGCGGCUUGUUGCGUCGACUGUGAAAACCCGCGGCUUAACUGCGGGCUUGCAGUUGAUACGGGCAGGCUAGAGUUCGGUAGGGGAGACUGGAAUUCCUGGUGUAGCGGUGAAAUGCGCAGAUAUCAGGAGGAACACCGGUGGCGAAGGCGGGUCUCUGGGCCGAUACUGACGCUGAGGAGCGAAAGCGUGGGGAGCGAACAGG
rnacentral:rRNA from 1 species